rnacentral:rRNA from 1 species
UGGGGAAUUUUGGACAAUGGGCGCAAGCCUGAUCCAGCCAUGCCGCGUGCGGGAAGAAGGCCUUCGGGUUGUAAACCGCUUUGUCAGGGAAGAAAUCUUCUGAGUUAAUACCUCGGGAGGAUGACGGUACCUGAAGAAUAAGCACCGGCUAACUACGUGCCAGCAGCCGCGGUAAUACGUAGGGUGCAAGCGUUAAUCGGAAUUACUGGGCGUAAAGCGUGCGCAGGCGGUUUUGUAAGACAGAGGUGAAAUCCCCGGGCUCAACCUGGGAACUGCCUUUGUGACUGCAAGGCUUGAGUGCGGCAGAGGGGGGAAUGGAAUUCCGCGUGUAGCAGUGAAAUGCGUAGAUAUGCGGAGGAAACACCGAUGGCGAAGGCAAAUCCCCUGGGCCUGCACUGACGCUCAUGCACAAAGCGUGGGGAGCAAAACAGGAUUAGAUAGCCCUGGUAGUCCACGCCCUAAAACGAUGUCAAACNGGUUGUUGGGAAAGGUUCCUUCUCAGUAACGUAGCUAACG